rfam:Glycine soja cultivar W05 scaffold4520_48, whole genome shotgun sequence.
UUUUUACUGGAUGAUGACUAUCACGUAUCAUGUUCUGAUUGGAUGUCAACUCCAUGAAAGAUGAAAUACGUUGUUUUCAUUGAUCAAUCAGAACAUGACACGUGACAGUCAUCAUCU